AUACGUAGGGGGCGAGCGUUGUCCGGAAUGAUUGGGCGUAAAGGGCGCGUAGGCGGCCUGUUAAGUCUGGAGUGAAAGUCCUGUUUUCAAGAUGGGAAUUGCUUUGGAUACUGAUGGGCUUGAGUGCAGGAGAGGUUAUCGGAAUUCCCGGUGUAGCGGUGAAAUGCGUAGAGAUCGGGAGGAACACCAGUGGCGAAGGCGGGUAACUGGACUGCAACUGACGCUGAGGCGCGAAAGUGUGGGGAGCAAACAGGAUUAGAUACCCUGGUAGUCCGCACUGUAAACGAUGAAUGCUAGGUGUAAGAGGUAUCGACCCCUUUUGUGCCGGAGUUAACACAAUAAGCAUUCCGCCUGGGGAGUACGGCCGCAAGGUUGAAACUCAAAUGAAUUGACGGGG
rnacentral:rRNA from 1 species